UCCACACCGUAAACGAUGAGAGCUAGUUGUCAGCAAAUUUAUUUGUUGGUGACGCAGCUAACGCAUUAAGCUCUCCGCCUGGGGAGUACGAUCGCAAGAUUAAAACUCAAAGGAAUUGACGGGGGCCCGCACAAGCGGUGGAGCAUGUGGUUUAAUUCGAUGCAACGCGCAGAACCUUACCGGCCCUUGACAUACCAAUCGCGAGAACCAGAGAUGGAUCUCUUCAGCUCGG
rnacentral:rRNA from 1 species